UGCCCUCUCAGCCUCUCCCUCCAUCACACAACGAGUAAAGACAACUAACAAGAAACAGGAACACCAUCUCGUUCUUUUGCUAUCUUAUAUAAAACCCUCAACUUCAACUAGGUUCUUGGACAUAUCCAUCCAUGGCUGCAGCCUGCAGGCCACGGCUUCCACUGUUUCCUUACGUACUCUCUAGCUGUAAAUAAGGGUCUUUCUGGGUAUACUAAGAGUAGGACAAAUUUGACAUGGUUUGCUGAACAAGGUUGUCGGUGAUCAUCAUCAUCACUUGCUGCAGCGAGCUUAAUUAGGCUGCUGAGGGUGCAACUUGGGCUUCUCAUAGCCACUGAUUUUCCUCCACCUGCACUACAUAUCCCUGGAGUCCAGACACCAACAAUAGUAAUCAGACCUUGAGGCUUCCAGCAUUUGUUCUGGGUUCAUCCUCUCGAGCUCAUUUUGGCGCCACGAUGCAAAGUUGUUCCUGUUCUGUGGGUCAGAAGCUAGUGGAAAUGAGAAACCGUACGCAUACUUGGUCGAGAAUGAUGGAUGUGAAUGAAACUUUUUCCUGUCCUGGGAUAUAAAGCAUGAUGGCUGAUAAGGCAAACGCCCGAAAGCUAAGGUAGCAGAUAAAAGUUACGAAAGUAAAGGUUAAAUCUUUUUAACUUUCGGCAAAGGUUUCAAUGUUCAUGGAGGUGGAGCUAGUUGCAGAUAAAAAGGGUUUCAACCUUGGUUAAGUGUAGAACCAGUGCAUGAGGACAGAAAGUAUGAGAGACAGAGACAGAGGAUUUUGACUUUAGAAAAAAACAGGGCACGGAUGGGGGAAUGUCAGCAGGACUUUCUUUUGACCAGAAAGGGCCCCUUGUAGAUUCUUAAUUCAUUCGAGCUUUGAAGAUAUUCCAAAAUCAAAAGCAAAGUUUUACAGAGAAAGCUGAUUUCUUGAUUCGGUCUGGUCCACCACUGCCAUGCAAUAUGGCACCACUGCAUGCUUCCUUGACCAAUAUUAUCAUCACUCACUCACAUGUAUUUUAUUUACGUCUCUCUCUCUCUCUCUCUCUCUCUCUCUCUCUCUCUCUCUCUUCUGUUUCGAAUGUCAAACCCAUAAACUCAGGCAAAAGAAAGUAUUAAUGGAGAUGUAUAUAAAUCUACCAACCCGGCCUGGCCUCUGCUUUUUGCGGCCAAAUGAAAUGACCCGAAUUCACUGGUUCUUUCCAGCUGCCUGCCACUGCCAUCUUCAAAUGGCCUGUAAUUGGAGAGUGAAAAGUUCAUGUCAUGUUCUGUGACGGUAUUGACAAGCAAAUGAUUUGGCAUUAAUCUAGACAAGAACAAAAUAUGAGCAUCUUAUAUAUGUUUUUAGACAAAGUUAGG